rnacentral:rRNA from 1 species
GUAAAGCGAGCGCAGACGGUUACUUAAGCAGGAUGUGAAAUCCCCGGGCCCAACCUGGGAACUGCGUUCUGAACUGGGUGACUAGAGUGUGUCAGAGGGAGGGAGAAUUCCACGUGUAGCAGUGAAAUGCGUAGAGAUGUGGAGGAAUACCGAUGGCGAAGGCAGCCUCCUGGGAUAACACUGACGUUCAUGCUCGAAAGCGUGGGUAGCAAACAGGAUUAGAUACCCUGGUAGUCCACGCCCUAAACGAUGUCAAUUAGCUGUUGGGCAACUUGAUUGCUUAGUAGCGUAGCUAACGCGUGAAAUUGACCGCCUGGGGAGUACGGUCGCAAGAUUAAAACUCAAAGGAAUUGACGGGGACCCGCACAAGCGGUGGAUGAUGUGGAUUAAUUCGAUGCAACGCGAAGAACCUUACCUGG